CCGGUGGACUGCCCUUAGUAUGGCCUCUGCCCUAUGACCAUCAGGCGUAGGUGACCCUACCAGCAGCCAAAACACAAAGCCCUAACUCCAGCCAGCAUAGCUCUCCGAAUCAUUGUGGCAUGUAAGUUUCCAAAUUGCGACAAGGUUGUGGUCCUGUUGGAGGUAUCUGGCUAGUAGCAACAUGAAAUCAUAUGCUUGUGCAACACUCCUUUGAAAGCAGCCUCAAUCAGAAUCAGAGCACAGGCUCAGAAUCAGAAUGAGAAUCAGAUUUAUUAUCACUGGCAUGAGAACAGGUCAUGUCCUGGAUGCUGAGGUUUCAUUAAUGAUGGAUGCUCGCUUCUUGAGACACUGCAUUUUGAAGAGGUCCUCGAUUGUCAACUACCGCGGUAUCAGCUUGACCUGCAUCUUAGCAAAGCUAUACAAUCGGAUGAUCUUGAACAGGAUUCGCACUGCCAUUUACCCUAAGCUAAGAUUCAAUCAGAAUGGUUUUCUGCAGAAGCGCACAACAGUAAUGCAAAUACUUGCUCUCCGUAGGAUCAUCGAGAAGUCAAGAAGAACAACCUACCAGCCGUGCUUACUUACAUCGAUUUCCGCAAAGCUUUUGACUCCAUUCACCGAGGUAAAAUGCUGAAGAUCCUGAAAGCUUACGGAGUGCCAGACCAUCUACUGAGAGCAAUAGAGUCCAGCUAUACCAAAACCAUGGCAAAAGUUGUAUCACCAGACGGAGAAACAGCAGUGUUCGAGCUCCUAGCUGGUGUACUGCAAGGAGACACUCUGGCACCCUACAUCUUUAUAAUCGUCCUUGAUUACGCUCUGCGUCAAGCUACCAAAGAUCAUGACAAGCUUGGUUUUACCAAAAGGGUGAACUAAAAGGGUCAGACCAGUUACGCUCACAGAUCUUGAUUUUGCAGAUGACAUCGUCCUGCUCUCUGACCAGAUGGAGGAAGCACAGCAGCUACUGACAAAAGUGAACAUUGAGUGCAAUAAAGUUGAACUUCACCUAAACGCUAAAAAGACAGAGUACAUGGCGCUUAACUGCGACAAAGGUACGCUCAAGACCGUAGCGAAUGAUACCAUUAAGAAAGUUUUUGACUACAAGUACCUCGGGUCAAGAAUGAUGAGUUUGGAGAAGGACAUAACAAUACAGAAGGUGCUGGUGUGGAGGGCUAUGAACGACAUGAAGGAAAUCUGGAAGUGGAACCUGACCAGAGGGCUUAAAAAGAGGAUCUUCAUAGCAGUCAUAGAGUCCAUUCUCACGUACGGAUGCGAGACAUGGACUCCAACGAAGACUAUGCGAAAGUCUCUAGGUGGUUGCUAUACACGAAAUGCUCUGGAUGACUCUUGAAGUGAGUUGGCAACAGCACAUGACGAACGUCGAGCUUUAUAACAACCUACCGAUGCUCUCCACUAAAAUCGAGGUGAGAAGACUGCAACUAGCGGGGCACUGUCUACGCCACCCCAAGCUACCUGCCAGCCUACUUAUCAUCUGGGAGCCCAAGCACGGGAGGAUGAACCCUGGGCGCCCUCCCAAGACUAUGGUCAACACACUCCUAGAAGACAGUCGCGCGGCUAAUGUAGAUGAACUGAACACACUGAUGAGGGAGAGUGAGAAGUGGAGAGUCCGUCAUCAUGCCCGACGCUGACCCCCUAGGCCUGAGUCGACGUAGUAGUAAUAGUAGUAGUCGAUUGUCAACAUUGCUCUUUGCAGGUUCUUUAAUGUGACUUUUGUUCAUGAGUUCUUAGACACUGCUGGGAAGUUGCAAAAGAUAAACUACCAGUCAUGUUUAAGCAGACCAUAAGUAAUCAUUUAAACAUACUUAACAGAAAGAACACCUAGUGCAGCAUUCACUAAAGAUUAACUUGCUGGUUGAGUCAUUAGUAAGAAAGGCAAAUGAAAUUUUAGCAUUCAUUUCAAGGAGGCUUUAUAAAACAUUGGUCAGUCUGCAGCUGGAAUACAAUAAGCAGCUUUGGACUCCCUAUCUAAGAAAGGAUGUGCAAGCAUUGAAGAGAGAUAACUGAUAUCUUUGAUCAGGUGCGUUGAAGGGUCCCGGCCUGAAAUAUUGACUGUUCAAUCCUCUACAUGCCUGACCAGCUAAGUUCCCCUUGCAUUUUACUGUUGUGCAUGAAGAUCCCAGGAGGUCAGCUGUUUCUGAGGAACUUACAGGGAAAUGAAGAAAUACAAGAGAAUUUAUGGAAAACUGUACCUAAACGAGACAAACAAACAACGAUGUGCAAAGGAGGACAAAUUCUGCAAAUAGAAAAUAAUUUAAAAAAUAAUAAUACUGAGAACAUGAGUUGUAAAAUCCUUGAAAGUGUUGAUUCCAUAGGUCGUGGAAUCAGUUCAAGUUUGUGUUUCCUGAGCUGAUCUGCACAACCCAAACUUUACCUCAGUAAUGGAGCACCUCUGACCACCUCUUACACUACCAUAGACUUAAUUCCUCAUCGAUUUUGCAUUUACAUCUUGUUUUGCACAAUCUUUUUCUUCAUGGCCUUGUACAACUUAUGUAUAAUUUAUGUUCCGGGCAUUAUCUGCAUUUGUGUGCCUGUCGUGCUGUUGUAAGCAAAUUAUUCAUUGUACCAGUAACCCCUGUACUUAGCACAUAAACAUAAAUUUAAUUUGAGUCACUGGGACAGAUAAACAACCUUGUGGCUUUACUAGACAUGUAACGUAAGACCAUAAGACAUAGGAGCAGAAUUAGGCCAUCUGGCCCAUCAAGUCUGCUCCGCCAUUCAAUCAUGGCUGAUCCGUCUUUUUUCUCCUCCUCAACCCCAUUUCCCAGCUUUCUCCCUGUAACAUCUGAUGCCAUGUCCAAUCAAGAACCUAUCAAUCUCUGCCUUAAAUGCACCCAACAACCUGGCCUCCACAAUUACAUGUGGCAACAAAUUCCAGAAAUUCACCAGCCUUUGGCUAACGAAAUUUGUCCACAUCUCUGUUUUGAAAGGGCAUGCCUGUAUCCUGAGGCUGUGCCCUCUUGUCCUAGACUCUCCCACGAUGGGAAACAUCCUUACGACCUCUACCCUGUCUAGGCCUUUCAACAUUCGAAAGGUUUCAAUGAGAUCCCCCUCAUCCUUCUGAAUUCCAGCGAAUACAGACCCAGAGCCAUCAAACGUUCUUGUAUGAUAAACCUUUCAUUCCUGGAAUCAUCCUCCUCUGGACCCUUCCCAAUGACAGCACAUCUUUUCGAAGAUGAGGAGCCUAAAACUGGUCACAAUACUCAAGGUGAGGCCUCACCAGAGCCUUACUAAGCCUCAGAAUCACAUCUUUGCGCUUGUAUCCUAGACCUCUUGAAAUGAAUGCUAACACGGCACUUGCCUUCCCCACCACCGACUCGACUGCAAGAUAAUUUUCCGGGUGUUCCACACAAGGGUUCCCAAUAGACACCACCGCUCAGCGUAAUGGAUAUUGGUUCAUCAAUGGAGCGUGAAAGGUGUGAAGAUGGUUCUUUUUUUUUUAUCUACGUGUCUCCUGGGCUAUCAAGGAAACCUACAUCCGAAGGAUGCUUUCCUCAUUCUCAAUCACAAACUAGAGAAAAUCCACAGAUGCUGGAAACCCAAGCAGCACACUCAAAACGCUAGGCAGGCCAGGCAGCAUCUAUAGAAAAUAAUACAGUCGACAUUUCGGGCCGAGACCCUUCAGCAGGACUGAAGAAGAAAGAUGAGGAGUAGACUUAAAAGGUGGGGGAGUGGGGGAGAGAAACACAAGGUGAUGAAUGAAACCAGGAGGGGGAGGGGUGAAGUAAAGAGCUGGGAAGCUGACUGAUGAAAUAGAUACAGGGCUGGAGAAGGGGGAGUCAAACAGAAGGCCACGGAAGAAAGAAAAGGGGGGAGGAGCACUAGAGAUGGGCAGACAAGGAGAUAAAGUGAGAGAGGGAAGAGGGGUUGGGGAAUGGUGAAGGAGGGGGAGUAGGUGGCCAUUACUGGAAGUUCAAGAAAUUGAUGUUCAUGCCAUCAAGUUGGAGGCUACCCAGACAGAAUAUAAGGUGUUGCUCCCCCAACCUGAAUGUGGCCUCAUCAUGACUCUGGAGGAGGAUAUCAUUGGACAUAUCUGUACUGUAUGAGUCCAUCAUUAAUCAACUUCCUAUCUCUUUACUUCACCCCUCCCACUCUCAGUUACACCUAUCACCUUGUGUUUCUCUCUCCCUUCCCCCACCUUUUAAAUAUACUCCUCAACUUUUUUUCUCCAGUCUGCUGAGGGGUCUCAGCUCGAAAUGUUGACUGUACUCUUUUGCAUAAAUGCUGCCUAGCCUGCUGAGUUCCUCCAGCAUUUUGUGUGUGUUGCUUUUCUCUUUCCUAUUGUUUAUGCAUUCCAGUUUAGAUGGGCAUGGGCAAGUUGGGCCAAAGAGCCUGUUUCUGCGCUGUAUUACUCCAUAAGACCAUAGGACAUAGGAGCAGAAUUAGGAUAUUUGGUCCAUUGAGUCUGCUCCGCCAUUCAAUCAUGUCUGAUUCAUAAUUCCUCUGAACCCCAUUCUCCCGCCUUCUGCUCAUAACUUUUGACAUCCUGACUAAUCAGAAACCUAUCAAACUCUGCUUUAAAUAUACCCAAUCACUUGGCCUCCACAGAUUCAUGACCCUCUGACAACUAUUACCUAGCUAUUGUGUUUAUUAGUGAAAUCAUUAUCAAUUAUUUCAUUGAUAAGGAAUUAGUGCUGUUUCUUGUUCAAUUGCUUUCUUAUCAAGGUCUGUAAGUACGAUCAAUAUUUACAGACAUCAGACAGUAAGUAUGACUGGUAGAUUAUUUAAAGAUAUGAUCUCUUCCUGACUGGUGCCAAUUUUCCAGUAACAUUCCCUGGGGAUCAAAGUGGUGAGGAAUCAGCUCUCCUCUGAUACUAUUAUGGGAUUCCAGGAAAGCAAAGUGCCUGAGGUUACCAUUUUGAAGUAAAUCAAGACUGAUGCGGGCUUUGAUUUUCCACAAAUGGUGCUUGAGCUGGUAAUUUUUUUUCCAAGCAGCACACAUUUUUUUUCUUGUAUUUUUCGUAAGAUGGUAAGACAUAGGAGUACAGUUGGGUAAUUCUGUCCAUCAAGUUUGCUUCAUGGCUAAUUUUUUUAUC